UUUGAAAAUAAUUUAAAGUAGGGCCUGCCCACUGAAGUAUUAAAGGGCCGCAGUAUUUUGACUGUGCAAAGGUAGCAUAAUCAUUAGUUUUUUAAUUGAAAGCUUGUAUGAAUGGUUUGAUGAGAAAAUAACUUUCUAUAUUUAAAUUUUUAAAAAUUUUAUUUUUAAGUUAAAAAGCUUAAAUUUUUUUAAUAGACGAGAAGACCCUAUAGAGUUUUAUUAUAUUAAUUUUUUAAAUUUUUAGAAUUUAAAAAUUUUAAUUUUUAAUAUAAUUUGGUUGGGGUGACUGAAAAAUUAAAUAAACUUUUUUUAUAUUAUUACAUAGAUUUAUGAAUAUUUGAUCCAUAAAAAUGAUUAAAAGAAUAAAUUACCUUAGGGAUAACAGCGUUAUUUUUUUUUAGAGUUCAAAUCGAAAAAAGAGAUUGCGACCUCGAUGUUGGAUUAAAGUAAAUUUUAGGUGUAGGAGCUUAAAAAUUUGGUCUGUUCGACCAUUAAAACUUUACA
rnacentral:rRNA from 1 species